CAGCAAUGGGAUGCGAAUCUCGAAAGCCUGUCUCAGUUCGGAUUGGGGGCUGAAACCCGCCUCCAUGAAGUUGGAUUCGCUAGUAAUCGCGCAUCAGCCAUGGCGCGGUGAAUACGUUCCCGGGCCUUGUACACACCGCCCGUCAAGCCAUGGGAGCCGGGGGUGCCUGAAGUUCGUGACCGCAAGGAGCGACCUAGGGCAAAACUGGUGACUGGGGCUAAGUCGUAACAAGGUAUC
rnacentral:rRNA from 1 species